CGGGCCUCCACUGCUCUCAGGUGGCUUAAGGUGGUCUUUGCAGUGGUGAUGGAGGCUGUUUUCCUGCAUGGUUGCUCCACUGGACCAUCAGUACUGGAUCCAAACUUCUACAAUUCCAGAUCAGAUCAAACAAGAAGGCGGUUAUUUUUACUUUUAAAUCAACAAGGCUUGCGAGGAUGGAUGGAGACUUACGGCCAACUUGGACCUCAUCUACGGUCAGGAGGUUGUCCAUCUGGAACAGCAGGUUCUCUGUCAGAGAGGCGGUCAAUGAUGUCUGACCCUGGCUUUUCUGCCACUGCGGAGAUAAGAAGGAAGGGAUCAAUAACUUCAGGCAAAACAAGCACAAGUCUGCAUUCGCCUACCAUCACUCAUCACCCACCCUCUUACAAUGUUUAAGCCUGCAAAAC